AUGCUUGAUGAACUAAGUGGCUCAGUUGUGUUUUCUAAAGUGGACUUGCGUAGUGGCUACCAUCAAAUUCGUAUGAAACUAGGUGAUGAAUGGAAAACUGCUUUCAAAACUAAAUUUGGUUUAUAUGAGUGGUUAGUUAUGCCUUUUGGAUUGACUAAUGCACCUAGUACUUUCAUGAGACUAAUGAAUGAAGUUUUGCGACCUUUCAUUGGACGAUUUGUGGUAGUAUACUUUGAUGAUAUUCUGAUUUAUAGUAAGUCACUAGAGGAACACUUAGACCAUUUGCGUGUUGUUUUUUCUGCUCUGUGUGAUGCACGUUUAUUUGGUAAUAUCGAGAAGUGCACUUUUUGCAUGGAUCGAGUCGCUUUUCUUGGCUAUGUUGUGACAGCGCAGGGAAUUGAAGUUGAUAAAGCCAAGGGUGAAGCGAUCCAGAGUUGGCCGACCCCUAACUCGGUCACACAGGUACGUAGUUUUCUCGGACUUGCUGGAUUCUACCGGUGGUUCGUGAAGGAUUUCUGCACCAUCGCAGCACCGCUCAAUGAACUCACAAAGAAAAAUGUGCCAUUUGUUUGGAGCGACACACAAGAGGAAGCCUUCACUAUUCUUAAAGAUAAGCUUACACAUGCCCCUUUGCUGCAAUUACCUGAUUCCAAUAAGAUGUUUGAAUUAGAAUGUGAUGCUAGCGGCAUUGGUUUAGGUGGUGUUCUAUUGCAAGAAGGCAAACCAGUAGCAUACUUUAGUGAAAAACUCAGUGGGCCUAGUCUAAAUUAUUCAACAUAUGAUAAAGAACUUUAUGCACUAGUUUGGACUUUGGAGACAUGGCAACAUUAUUUAUGGCCUAAGGAGUUUGUUAUACAUUCUGAUCAUGAAUCACUCAAGCAUAUUAGAAGUCAAAGCAAACUGAACCAUAGACAUGCAAAAUGGGUUGAAUUUAUUGAAUCUUUUCCUUAUGUUAUUAAGCAUAAGAAAGGGAAGGAGAAUGUUAUUGCCGAUGCAUUGUCUAGACGCUAUACCAUGUUAUCACAACUUGACUUCAAAAAUUUUGGACUUGAAACUAUAAAAGAGCAAUCCGCUAAUGAUGUCGAUUUUAAAGAUAUAUUGCUCAAUUGCACAGAGGGUAGAACUUGGAACAAGUUCGUCGUUAAUGACGGAUUUGUUUUUCGUGCUAAUAAGCUAUGCAUCCCAGAUAGCUUUGUUCGUCUUCUAUUGUUAUAG
rnacentral:rRNA from 1 species